rnacentral:rRNA from 1 species
AGAGUUGAUCAUGGCUCAGGAUGAACGCUGGCGGCGUGCCUAACACAUGCAAGUCAAGCGAGAAACCCAUGAUCGAAACUCGGUGAUGAUGGGCGGAAGCGGCGGACGGGUGAGUAACGCGUAGGCAACCUGCCCUUUGCAGAGGGAUAGCCUCGGGAAACCGGGAUUAAAACCUCAUAAUGCGUGACCGGGACAUCCCGGAUACGCCAAAGAUUCAUCGGCAAAGGAUGGGCCUGCGUCUGAUUAGUUAGUUGGUGGGGUAACGGCCUACCAAGGCAGCGAUCAGUAGCCGACCUGAGAGGGUGAUCGGCCACAUUGGAACUGAGACACGGUCCAAACUCCUACGGGAGGCAGCAGUGGGGAAUAUUGCACAAUGGGCGAAAGCCUGAUGCAGCAACGCCGCGUGAAGGAUGAAGGCCCUUGGGUCGUAAACUUCUGUUCUAAGGGAAGAUAAUGACGGUACCUUAGGAGCAAGUCCCGGCUAACUACGUGCCAGCCGCCGC